AGUGAACGCUGGCGGUAGGCCUAACACAUGCAAGUCGAACGGCCGCACAGUAAGAGCUUGCUCUUACGGGUGGCGAGUGGCGGAUGGGUGAGGAAUACAUCGGAAUCUACUUUUUCGUGGGGGAUAACGUAGGGAAACUUACGAUAAUACCGCAUAUGACCUACGGGUGAAAGCAGGGGAUCUUCGGACCUUGCGCGAUUGAAUGAGCUGAUGUCGGAUUAGCUAGUUGGCGGGGUAACGGCCCACCAAGGCGACGAUCCGUAGCAGGUCUGAGAGGAUGAUCAGCCACACUGGAACUGAGACACGGUCCAGACUCCUACGGGAGGCAGCAGUGGGGAAUAUUGGACAAUGGGCGCAAGCCUGAUCCAGCCAUGCCGCGUGAGUGAAGAAGGCCUUCGGGUUGUAAAGCCCUUUUAUUGGGAAAGAAAAGCAGCAGGUUAAUACCCCGCUGUUCUGACGGUACCCAAAGAAUAAGCACCGGCUAACUUCGUG
rnacentral:rRNA from 1 species